UAUGAGACAAACAAAAAGGAAGAAGAACAACAACGGAAAAAGAAAGAAAAGAAGAGGCAAAAUAGGGAAAACUAAGAUAGAAAACAUUUACAAAACACUUUCUGGGUGAUAUCUUGCAUAGAAAGAUUCUAUGGUUCGCAAAGCAAACAACACGUGGUCUUGUGACGUCUCGAGACACUCAUUUGUUGCAAAUUGUGCGAACGAAAU
rnacentral:ribozyme from 1 species